GACGAACGCUGGCGGCGUGCUUAACACAUGCAAGUCGAACGAAGUGGCGAACGGGUGAGUAAUACGUGGGUAACCUGCCAUCCUUUGUGGGAUAAGCCUUGGAAACGGGGUCUAAUACCGAAAAAAGGGGGAGUGGCUCGCGGCCUAUCAGCUUGUUUGGGGGGUGAUGGCCUACAAAGGCGGGGACGUGUAGCCGGCCUGAGAGGGUGACCGGGCACAUUGGGACUGCGAUACGGCCCCGAGUCCUACCGGAGGGAGCAGUGGGGGAUAUGGCACAAUGGUCGAGAGCCUGAUGCAGCGACGCCGCGUGGGGGAUGAAGGCUUUCGGGUUGUACACCUCUUUCGCUAUCGGACGGUUAGGUUGAGAAGAAGCGCCGGCUAACUACGUGCCAGCCGCCGCGGUAAUUC
rnacentral:rRNA from 1 species